CUACGGGGCGCUGCAGUGAGGAAUAUUGCACAAUGGGGGGAACCCUGAUGCAGCAACGCCGCGUGGAGGAUGACGCAUUUCGGUGUGUAAACUCCUUUUAUAUGUCAAGAAAAUGACGGUAGCAUAUGAAUAAGCACCGGCUAACUCCGAUGCCAGCAGCCGCGGUAAUACGGAGGGUGCAAGCGUUACUCGGAAUCACGUGGGCGUAAAGGACGCGUAGGCGGGUUGGAAAGUCAGGUGUGAAAUCCUACAGCUUAACUGUAGAACUGCACUUGAAACUUCUAAUCUAGAGUAUGGGAGGGGGAGAUGGAAUUAGUGGUGUAGGGGUAAAAUCCGUAGAUAUCACUAGGAAUACCUAAAGCGAAGGCGAUCUCCUGGAACAUUACUGACGCUAAGGCGUGAAAGCGUGGGGAGCAAACAGGAUUAGAUACCCCUGUAGUC
rnacentral:rRNA from 1 species